UACGUAGGGUGCGAGCGUUGCCCGGAUUUAUUGGGCGUAAAGGGCGCGUAGGCGGCCACGCACGUCCGUUGUGAAAUCGCCCGGCUCAACUGGGCGGGGUCAGCGGAUACGGUGUGGCUCGAGCAAGCUAGGGGGCAAUGGAAUUCCCGGUGUAGUGGUGGAAUGCGUAGAUAUCGGGAGGAACACCAGUGGCGAAGGCGGUUGCCUGGAGCUUUGCUGACGCUGAUGCGCGAAAGCGUGGGGAGCGAUCCGG
rnacentral:rRNA from 1 species